GAUGAACGCUAGCGGCAGGCUUAAUACAUGCAAGUCGAGGGGGAUUAUUUUUGUAGCAAUACGAAGAUAUGAGACCGGCAAACGGGUGCGGAACACGUACGCAACCUUCCCAAAACUGGUGAAUAGCCCUCCGAAAGGAGGAUUAAUACACCGUAACAUAAUGAAGUGGCAUCACUUUAUUAUUAUAGCUCCGGCGGUUUUGGAUGGGCGUGCGCCUGAUUAGGUAGUUGGCGGGGUAACGGCCCACCAAGCCUGCGAUCAGUAACUGGUGUGAGAGCACGACCAGUCACACGGGCACUGAGACACGGGCCCGACUCCUACGGGAGGCAGCAGUAAGGAAUAUUGGUCAAUGGACGAAAGUCUGAACCAGCCAUGCCGCGUGAAGGAUGAAGGCCCUCUGGGUUGUAAACUUCUUUUAUCUGGGACGAAAAAAGGCGAUUCUUCGUCACUUGACGGUACCAGAGGAAUGAGCACCGGCUAACUCCGUGCCAGCAGCCGCCGUAAGAC
rnacentral:rRNA from 1 species